CAGAACGAACGCUGGCGGCAGGCCUAACACAUGCAAGUCGAGCGGAAACGAUCCUAGCUUGCUAGGAGGCGUCGAGCGGCGGACGGGUGAGUAACACGUGAGAAUCUGCCCAUUAGUGGGGGAUAACCUGGGGAAACCCAGGCUAAUACCGCAUAAUCCCUACGGGGGAAAGCAGGGGACCUUCGGGCCUUGUGCUGAUGGAUGAGCUCGCGUCGGAUUAGCUUGUUGGUGAGGUAAUGGCUCACCAAGCCUACGAUCUAUAGCUGGUUUGAGAGGAUGAUCAGCCACACUGGGACUGAGACACGGCCCAGACUCCUACGGGAGGCAGCAGUGGGGAAUCUUGCACAAUGGGCGAAAGCCUGAUGCAGCCAUGCCGCGUGUGUGAUGAAGGCCUUAGGGUUGUAAAACACUUUCAGAGGGGAAGAUAAUGACGGUACCCUCAGAAGAAGCUCCGGCUAACUCCGUGCCAGCAGCCGCGGUAAUACGGAGGGAGCUAGCGUUGUUCGGAAUUACUGGGCGUAAAGC
rnacentral:rRNA from 1 species